GGAGGGGCCUCUGGAGAAUCCCGAUCGUCGGGUGCCGAAGGGGCAAGGCGAGUGACCAAGGGCCGCAUCGCCGAAACUCUCAGGCAAAAGGACAGAGCAAAGCUG
rfam:Gordonibacter pamelaeae 7-10-1-b draft genome.